rnacentral:lncRNA from 1 species
UGGGAGCAGGGAAGGAGCCUUCUGGGGUCUCUUUUAUAAAGGCACUUUUCCCAUUGAUGAGGGCUCCGCCCAUGAUUUAAUCACCCAAAGUGCCACAUCCUAAUAUUAUCACUUCAGUGAUUAAGUUUCAACACAUGACUUUUGGAGAGAUUCAGUCUAUGGCAGGGACUAUUACAAUAGUGCAGGUGAGAGGUGAUAAUGGCUGGGAGUAGAGUGGCAGUAGGAGAGAGGAUAUGAAGUUGUUGGAUUCUGAAUGUAUUCUGAAAAGCCUCAGGGUCGACAGGAUUUCCUCAUGACUUGGAUAUGAGGGCUGGAUUAGAAUUUUAAAUAAUUUGGCUUGAAAGAUCAAGUGCGAGAAACUGAAUGAAGAAGCCAGGGAGUUCAUCUUUAAAUAACAUGCUAUGAGAAGAAUAUACCAUGAACUCUGAAAGAAAUUUAAAAGUCUGACUAACUCAUGGCAAGGAGAUUUGGAGAGUAUGUAACCAAUUUGCAGCUUGUCUUUGAGAAAUGCCCAGUAUGCUCACCCUUCCUGUGCAGAAACCCUGGGGGUUGACUGGGCAGUGAACACUGUAGAUAGGAUGAGGAGAAUCCUGACACGGAUCAGACCCUUGCCAGGCCUCCCAAGGUAUGGCCUGGAAGAUGGAAAGACUAAAGGAGAAGAUCCUCAUCCGACGUGGUAUUUGAGCAGUGGCUUAUCAGUGAGUGAGGCGGCUUCUAGGUAGACUGGCCUGGGAGGAGCCUCAGUGUCCUCUGCAGGAGAGUGGUGUAGGGGAGCCUCUGAAAAGAGAUGGCCAUGGACGGGGCUGUUCUAGUAGAGAUCUGUAUGAGGGAGACCCAGUCGCAGGGACCCCUGUGAGUAGGAGUUGUCAUGGGACCAGAAGCCCGUUGUCAUGUGGUGGACACCAGCACAUGACAACGGGACCAGAUGAGCUAAGGCGUCUAUCCCUCAGAAGUUAGUAUAGAUGCAAGAGAGCAGUAGAGACAUAGCCCCUACCCAAGUGCCAAAGUGGUACACGAGAGGUAGAAUUUUAUACUGGAAGAGAAUGGCUUGCCUUUUUUAGGUUCCAGAAGUAAGGAAAAUCAUGUAGUAUUUGUCUUUCUCUGUCUGAUUUUGCUUAUCAAAGUCUCCUCUAAGUCCACCCAUGUUGUCACAAAUGGCAAGAUUUUCAUUCUAUUUUCGGCUGAGUAAUAUUCCGUAGUAUUCCAUAGUAUGGAAUAUUACACACACUUAGGUUGCUUCCAUAUCUUGGCUACUGUAAAUAAUGCUGCAGUGAACAUAGGGGUGCAUAUAUCUUUUUGAAUUUAUGUUUUCAUUUUCUUCAGAUAAAUACCUAGAAGUGGAGUAGCUGGAUCAUAUUGUAGUUCUAUUUUUAUUUUUUGAGGAAUCUCUAUAUUGUGGUUUUAAUUUGCAUUUCCCUAGUGUUGAUUAGCCUUUUGUAUAUCUUCUUUUCUCUAUUCAAAUUUUUUGGGAAGUUUGUCUUAUUAUUCUGAAUAAAGGUCCUUCACAUACAUAUGAAGUCCAAGCUCAGUUUUUCUUUUCAGUUUUCUAUCUUUUGUAGCCUUUCUAAGAAAACAUAAAGUUCACUUGUAUCCCCAGUGACAAAUACUUGCUGUGUUUACCACAAAUAUAUCUUCCAUAACCCUACUUGUAUGCUUUGGCAUUCACAAUACCUUUCAUUUCAGUAUUAUGUCAUAUCAUAAUAUUUUAAAGAUAUUUUAAGUACAAUUAAAGAUACAGAUUUGAGUUAAAUUCAAAUAACUAAUGUGGCAAUUGAAUGAACUCAUUUGGCAAAUCCAUCACUAAGUUCACAUGUGUCUUGCAUCCUUAUACUGGUGAGUGGUGUCCUGGAAGUUCUUGCAUUCAUCCACUCACCCACAUCCAUUCACUUGGAUGUGUAUGGACAUUGACAUUGCAGCCCUAGCCUCUGCCUGAGUAAGGAGAGAGGAAGGCAGGAGAGGUGGGUAAGGAGCAGCAGAAUAAUGAAGGACUUUUUGCCCAGACCACAGCUGUGGUGAGAGCCAGCUGCAAUUUUAAUAUAACUUUGCUGUGGUCAGGACAAAGCACUGUUUCUUUAAAGAAAUUUCUUUUGGAAGUUCCCGUUGUGGCUCAGUAACAAACCUGACUAGUAUCCAUGAGGAUGUAGGUUCAAUCCCUGGCCUUGCUCAGUGGGUUAAGGAUCUGGCAGUGCUGUUAACUGUGGUGUAGGUCGCAGAUGUGGCUUGGAUCUAGUGUUGCUGAGGCCAGCAGUUGUAGCUCUGAUUUGACCUCUAGCCUGGGAACUUACAUAUGCUGCAGGUGCAGCCCUAAAAAUGCAAAAAGAAAGAAAGAAAGAGAGAAAGAAGGAAGGAAGGAAAGAGAAGGCAGGAAAUAAAGAAAGGAAGG